rnacentral:rRNA from 1 species
UGGGGAAUAUUGCACAAUGGUGGGAACUCUUAUGCAGCGACGCCGCGUGCACGUAGAAGGCUUUCGAGUCGUAAAGUUCUCUUAUAUGGGAAGAUAAUUACGGUACCAUAAGAAAAAGCCCCGUCUAACUACGCGCCAGCAGCCGCGUUAAUACGUUGGGGGCUAGCGUUUCUCGGAAUCUCUGGGCGUAAAGGGUUCGCAGGCGGAAAUGCAAGUCAGGUGUAAAAGGCAGUAGCUUAACUACUGUAAGCAUUUGAAACUGCAUAUCUUGAGAAGUGUAGAGGUAAGUGGAAUUUUUCGUGUAGCGGUGAGAUUCGUAGAUAUUAAAAAGAAUACCGGUGGCGAAGGCGACUUACUGGGCUCAUUCUGACGCUGAGGAACGAAAGCGUGGGCAGCAAACAGG